rnacentral:rRNA from 1 species
CGAUUCCGGCGGAGGAUGGGCAUGCGGCGCAUUAGCUUGUUGGCGGGGUAACGGCCCACCAAGGCGACGAUGCGUAGGGGUUCUGAGAGGAAGGUCCCCCACACUGGUACUGAGACACGGACCAGACUCCUACGGGAGGCAGCAGUGAGGAAUAUUGGUCAAUGGGCGGGAGCCUGAACCAGCCAAGUCGCGUGAGGGAAGACGGUCCUAUGGAUUGUAAACCUCUUUAGGCGGGGAGCAAUGCCGGGCACGCGUGCCCGGAGGGAGAGUACCCGCAGAAUAAGCAUCGGCUAACUCCGUGCCAGCAGCCGCGGUAAUACGGAGGAUGCGAGCGUUAUCCGGAUUUAUUGGGUUUAAAGGGUGUGUAGGCGGAUUUUUAAGUCAGCGGUAAAAUGUCCGGGCUCAACCCGGGCCGGCCGUUGAAACUGGGGAUCUUGAGUGGGCGAGAAGUAUGCGGAAUGCGUGGUGUAGCGGUGAAAUGCAUAGAUAUCACGCAGAACUCCGAUUGCGAAGGCAGCAUACCGGCGCCCGACUGACGCUGAGGCACGAAAGCGUGGGGAUCGAACAGGAUUAGAUACCCUGGUAGUCCACGCAGUAAACGAUGAAUG